UACGUAGGGUCCAAGCGUUAUUCGGAAUUACUGGGCGUAAAGCGUUCGUAGGCGGUUUUGUAAGUUGGAUGUGAAAUCCUGUGGCUCAACCACAUGGACUGUGUCCAAAACUACAAGACUAGAGCAUAGUAGAGGCAAGUGGAAUUUGCAGUGUAGGAGUGACAUCCGUAGAUAUUGCAAGGAACACCAAUGGCGAAGGCAGCUUGCUGGGCUAUUGCUGACGCUCAGGAACGAAAGCGUGGGGAGCGAACGGGAUUAGAUACCCCGGUAGUCCACGCCGUAAACGAUGAUCACUAACAGUAUGGAGAUUCGACCCUCUGUGUUGUACAGCUAACGCGUUAAGUGAUCCGCCUGGGGAGUACGGGCGCAAGCUUAA
rnacentral:rRNA from 1 species